rnacentral:rRNA from 1 species
UACGGAGGGUGCAAGCGUUAUCCGGAUUCACUGGGUUUAAAGGGUGCGUAGGCGGGCAGGUAAGUCAGGGGUGAAAUCUCCGGGCUUAACCCGGAAACUGCCGUUGAUACUAUCUGUCUUGAAUAUCGUGGAGGUAAGCGGAAUAUGUCAUGUAGCGGUGAAAUGCUUAGAUAUGACAUAGAACACCCAUUGCGAAGGCAGCUUACUACACGAUCAUUGACGCUGAGGCACGAAAGCGUGGGGAGCAAACAGG